rnacentral:tRNA from 1 species
GUUAUAGUAGUGAUCUCAGACACGUUACCUUUUCGAGGUAAAGAGGAGUGGGACAACUACUCCUAUAAUA